ensembl:lncRNA
UAUAUUUGUGAAUGUAUGUUAAAAUUUUAUUUGUUAAAAAAAGCUCAAUAAAAUCGAUGCAUUUAUAGCUGAAUUUGUAGCGAUGUGGCAUGAUUUCCUCUAUCACUGACCUCGCGCGUUGCAACAUUACAGAAAGAAAAAAAAAUAGUUUGCAUUAAAAAAAAAUGGUUAGUGGAAGCAACGCCAAGCGUUGGUUUCUUUCCUAGAAUAAAACGUCAGUUUCGGAUAAGUUGGUCCGCUCGCUCAGCGCACCUGCACAGGUGAACGCAAAGGUAAGAGGAAAAACACACACCUUUGUGUUUGACUUUAACUAAGAGCAUCCUGAAUCCAGCAGCAUGAAAGCGGCUUUAUUUCGCAUUAGGACUAUUUUAAAGAUCCCGUGAAGGUUAAAGAGUGUGUCUUACCUUGUGGUCUCUGCUGCAGGAGUGUGUGUUGUGUGUGUUAUAGUGUCUGGGUCCAGAAUAAAGCCUGAGAAACAGAGGCGCGUUAUUCCUGACUGAUCCUCUCACACACUCCAGGACUCAAACCUGCGCUCGGACUGACGCGCUCACACGCCUCGAAUGACACUGUUUUCCUCCUUUCUUUUCGAGAGAGAGAGAGAAACACACGCCACCUAUCAGCACAGGGAGGGAUAAUAGAGCCAAACGUGUGUGUGUUUUAUGAGCGCGCGCGCGCACACCCACACACACACACACACACACACACACACACAGAGAGAGAGAAAGAGCAUCAGGCACCUUUAUAGCGAAGACAUGAAUAACGUUUGAAGAAAGUUCAGGAACGGUUACGCUCCCUCUCUUCAGCGCAGGCGACAAACACGAUUGUAGGAGAAAUAAAGGAGGGUGCGAUCAUAAAGACGAAUCUGAUGAGGAGAAGCGCUGAAUCUGAGGAGGGAAAGUGUUCUGUCGGAGGAGGCGCGGGAAGCGCGCGCGCUCCUGUGACAGUAUUUGUAAGGAUAAUGAAGACAUCAGUCCACGCGCAUCUGCACUGAUUGAUGCUUUUGUUCAGCAUCAGACUCCUGCGAUCUGUAACCAUUCAGUCUGAAUCAUCCGGAGCUGCUUGGAUCCCUGUAGGGAGGUGUAAGACAAGAAAAGACUCACGUGCGGGAGAAGCCGCGUUGAGGUCAGAGGUCGGCAGAUUUCAUCAUCCCCGACACGCACACCUGUGGAACUCCAGGUUGGUUACUGAUGAACAAGAUCCUCGACACACUCUCAUCAUGUCAGCAGAUCAGCGGGCAGAUGUAUCGGUGCAUUCGGCCGGCUCAGGUUUUCAUCAGGUAAGCAGAUGUCAGAUGAAACCUGAAACAUGUUUGGAAGAAACAGCUGAUCUUUCUUUAAAUAGACAGCUGAAUCUCAUGAAAUCUGUCAAGAACACGUCCGGCUCAUAUUUCACACCAAAAUCAAAAGAAAACAUUUUCUCGGACAAUUUAUUUAUUUAUUUCUGCAUUAUGAUGUUGUUUUCAUGA